GACGAACGCUGGCGGCGUGCUUAACACAUGCAAGUCGAACGGAAAGGCCCUGCUUUUGUUGGGUUCUUGAGUGGCGAACGGGUGAGUGACACGCGAGUAACCUGCCCCUGUCUUUGGGAUAAAUUCAGGAAACAGGGGCGAAUACCGGGGAGGAUCUCCUGCUGCAUGUGGGGGGUUGGAAAGAGUCGGCGGUUGUGGAUGGACUCGCGGCUUAUCAGCUUGUUGGUGGGGUAGUUGCUUACCAGGCCUUUGACGGAUAGCCGGCCUGAGAGGGUGACCGGCCACAUUGGGACUGAGAUACGGAGCAGAAUCGUACGGGAGGCAGCAGUGGGGAACAUUGCGCAAUGGGGGGAAGCCUGAUGCAGCAACGUCGCGUGCGGGAUGACGGCCUACGGGUUGUAAACCGCUUUCGCCUGUGACGAAGAGUGAGUGACGGUAAUGGGUAAAGAAGCACCGGCUAACUACGUG
rnacentral:rRNA from 1 species